rnacentral:ncRNA from 1 species
GGGAAAAAAAGGCAAACCAUCCGUAAGGAUGGGGCGCAAAGCUUCCGGUCCUGAGCGAACGAAGUGAGUCGAAGGAUAGCGGGGUUGCCAAG